CUCUCUCUGUCAUGCACAUAACACACUCUCUUUGUCACACACACAACACACACUUACUCUCUCUCUGUCAUGCGCACACAACACACACUUUCUCUCUCUCUCUCUCUCUCUCUCUCUCUCUCUCUCUGUCUCUCUCUCUCGGUCACACACAGAUGACGUGGAGGGGCAAUAGGGUGGAGGCAGGACAGAGGAGACUCCCUGUGACUCGAGUGUUUGCUUGCCAUGGGUAUCCACUGGUUGCCUUGUCUACCCCAUGAACAAACCAUCAGAUUUCCAGUAUCUCCCUGCGGAAGAACCGUGGAUAAGCACCCCUACUGCAAAUGAACUGUUGGAGAACUGUAUUAUAACAAAGUGUCAAGGUGCCGCGCUCUCAAAUGGACAAAGACUGUUCUUAAAGUGUUCAGAGGCCACCCAGAGACAGUUGUGCUGUUGCUAUGUCAUGCUUUACUGUGGAAAAGGAACUGUUGGACAUAUUGGGGGGUGCUAGCAAUGCAGGUGGAGAGAGAGAGAAGAUGCAGCGUUGUUUGGGGGUAGAUGGGGGGCUGGUUGGGUCUCUGUGCCGGUAGACCGGUAGUUUUGGGAAGGCUGGAAGAUAGAUGGAGGGUAUUGGAGGGGUUGUACCUAUAUGCAGUGACAAUUAGCCUAUAAAAGUAUAUCACGACAUAGGAAUAUUUUUCUGUUUAGUUUUCUUAUAGAGUUCUGUUACCAUAAUAUAAGGCUUUACUAAUUUUCUACGCCUGUCUAUUUUUAUGUUAUUCUGUUAGAAUAAAAGGAUGGUAUGUUAGGGGUAAUAUGAACCUGACGGCAGCCAUCUUGUUCCUCGCAGCCAUCUUGUGAUGAUUAGUAUCCAUUUUGUAAUGAUUAGACUUUUAUUAUACUGGGUUAUUAUGUAGUGAGAACUAUGUGCAUGUUAUGAUAAUUUCCUUAGCUGUUCGGCCUUGUCAAUGUACCCUGGUCCUACGCCCAGAAUAAGAUAGAAUAAGAUAAUGUCAACAAGACGGUUCAGAAACCUUGUUGUCUCCACAGAUGGUAGUUUAUUAUGACUCUGUAAGUAUUGUUAUGAGAAACUCAUGUUCCAGCUUUUCCUUGUAUUUUGCUCUGUAUAACUGUGUAAAAUGACGCGGUCCAAACGUGUCAUCCCCUUAACCCUAUGUGCUGUCAGUGUACACUAUAAGACAUGAUUACACUGUUCAAUAAAGAUGAAUUGGCUUUCGAUCAUAA